rnacentral:lncRNA from 1 species
GGCAGUGAUUAUGCUGAGCCUACAGAAAGCAAAUGUAAAGGACUUGGAAUUCAGAGGCUCUUAUUUAUCAUUCAAAAAGUGGUGCAGAUCAAAUACAAGAGUCAUGCAAAUCUUGCAACAAUCAGAAAAUACAAGGACUCGAUAGAAGUGUAAGUAUUUCCAUUGCAAGAGUCUGAACUUGGAAAAGGUCACACAUGUUGGACUUACAACCUAUAGAAAUGUAAGAAAAGAAAAUUGUGUGUGUUUGAAUGAUGCUUUAUAUUUUUUAAUUUUUAAUUGUAGUAAAAUAUACUUAACAUCAAUUUACUAUCUUACCAAUUUUUUUAUUUUAUUUUUAUUUUUUUGAGACAGGGUCUUGCUCUGUCACCCAGGCUGGAGUGCAGUAGCAAGAUAAUGGCUCACUGUGGCCUUGACCUCCUGGUCAAGUGGCCUUCCCACCCCAGCCUCCUGAGUGACUAAGAAUACAAGCAUGUGCCACUUUGGUCAGCUAAUGGUUUCUAGUUUUUGCUAAGACAGGGUCUCACUAUGUUGCCCAGAUUGGUCUCAAAGCCUGAGCCAUUCUUGUACCUUGAGUCACAUAUAAAAAUGUAGAAAAAAAUAGAAAAAAGUUACUGAAAUUUCUAACUACAAAAAAAAAGAAUAUAUUUAGCCCGAAUAUCAAUGAACUCCAAAAACAGGAAAAAGGGGCCACUAUGUUAGAACUAGUUAUUUUUAACCCUGUUCACAUCUGAAAAUUUAACAAAUAAAUGUGUGUUUGUGUAUGUGUGUGUGUGUGCAUGAGCAUGUGUGUAUCUUCCUGUGCUACCAUUUAAAAUUAAACUAAUCAUCACUCUGGACAGAAAAAAAAAUAAAACUAUCUAUGAUCCAGCAAUUUCACUAUUGGGUAUACACUCAAAGGAUAUAAAAUCAAUAUGUCAAAGAUAUAUCUGCACUCCUAUGAUUAUCAUAGCACAAUUCACGAUAGCCAAGUUAUGAAAUCAACCCAAAUGCUCACAAACAGAUAAAUGGAUAAAAAAAAUGUAGUAUGGAAAUUCUGUCACUGACAACAACAUGUGUGAACCUGGAAUAUAUUAAGUGAAAUAAGCCAGACACAGGAAGACAAAUAUCCCUGGAUCUCACAUAUAUUCAAUCUAAAAAGUGAAACUUGUGGAAGGAGAGAGUAGAAUGGAGCUUACCAGGGGCUCAAGGGAGUUGCUGGGGGUAUCAGGGUGACAUUGGACAAAGGGUAAAAAAAAUUCAGUUAAGAAGAAUAAGCUUAAGAGAUCUAUUCUACAUAUGGUG